UCCAUCGACUUGGGCUGACAGGUGGAAAUGGACGAUUAAACGAUCGACAAACCCGCCAAGAAUUGUCUGGAAGCGUUGGAAGCUCGUACGAUCUCUUCGAAUACACACGCAUCGAGGCAGGGAGAGAAAGUAAGCGAGAGAGCGAUGAAUGGAAAAGGAGGGUUGCGGCCGAAAAGAGAGCAAAGAGGUUUAGGUUAAAAGAAGAGGACGAUUAUUUAUGGGACGGUUGUAUGGUGGCGCGUCCGUGCCAUGCAUAGACAGUACCUCAUUCCAAUCGGCAAACGAAUGGCUCAUUUUCUGUCCGCAAAUGUACGGAAAUGCCACUCGAGAACGGCAUUUCUUAAUAUUCGCCGGUAUUAGGAGAUAACCGGGCACGUGCGAACUAUUAGAAUGACGGCGUGGAAGGACGCAGCAGGUCGGCAAGACGAUAAAUUACAAAGAACGAAACGAUGGCUGAAUCACUGUAAGCUGCUAGGAGACAUUAAAAUGCCGCGCCGCAAAAAUCGAACAAAGUG